rnacentral:rRNA from 1 species
GACGAACGCUGGCGGCGUGCCUAAUACAUGCAAGUCGAACGCACUCUCGUUUAGAUUGAAGGAGCUUGCUCCUGAUUGAUAAACAUUUGAGUGAGUGGCGGACGGGUGAGUAACACGUGGGUAACCUGCCCUAAAGUGGGGGAUAACAUUUGGAAACAGAUGCUAAUACCGCAUAAAACCUAACACCGCAUGGUGUAGGGUUGAAAGAUGGUUUCGGCUAUCACUUUAGGAUGGACCCGCGGUGCAUUAGUUAGUUGGUGAGGUAAAGGCUCACCAAGACCGUGAUGCAUAGCCGACCUGAGAGGGUAAUCGGCCACACUGGGACUGAGACACGGCCCAGACUCCUACGGAGGCAGCAGUAGGGAAUCUUCCACAAUGGACGAAAGUCUGAUGGAGCAACGCCGCGUGAGUGAAGAAGGUUUCGGAUCGUAAAACUCUAGUUGUUGGAGUAAGAAUGUAUCUGAUAGUAACUGAUCAGGUAGUGACGGUAUCCAA